rnacentral:rRNA from 1 species
GAUGAACGCUGGCGGCGUGCCUAAUACAUGCAAGUCGAGCGAAUGGAUUAAGAGCUUGCUCUUAUGAAGUUAGCGGCGGACGGGUGAGUAACACGCGGGUAACCUGCCCAUAAGACUGGGAUAACUCCGGGAAACCGGGGCUAAUACCGGAUAACAUUUUGAACCGCAUGGUUCGAAAUUGAAAGGCGGCUUCGGCUGUCACUUAUGGAUGGACCCGCGUCGCAUUAGCUAGUUGGUGAGGUAACGGCUCACCAAGGCAACGAUGCGUAGCCGACCUGAGAGGGUGAUCGGCCACACUGGGACUGAGACACGGCCCAGGCUCCUACGGGAGGCAGCAGUAGGGAAUCUUCCGCAACGGACGAAAGUCUGACGGAGCAACGCCGCGUGAGUGAGGAAGGCUUUCGGGUCGUAAAACUCUGUUGUUAGGGAAGAACAAGUGCUAGUUGAAUAAGCUGGCACCUUGACGGUACCUAACCAGAAAGCCACGGCUAACUACGUGCCAGCCGCCGCCGUAA